rnacentral:lncRNA from 1 species
AUGUGGGGCUCCGCGGAGGCUCUCGGAGGACGGCGGGCAGGGCCGCUCCCAAGGGAGACGCGCCCUGAGCCCGGGCAUGGGUCCCGGACAGCCUUCCGGGCGGCGGCGCGGCCCUGGCCUGCCGUGUCCGCUGAGGCCUGCGGGGCGCUGUCCUCGAGGGCCGGGGCGCGGGGCUCGCGGGCUGCACAGGGCUCCUCGGUCCCUCCGUCCCCUCCGUCCCCGCUCCCCAGCGAUGGAAGACAGUCCAGGCAGCUGUCUCAGGCUCAGAGAGGCUGCCUGCUGUGCACACCGCGUUGUGUCUCCACUCCCAGCUCUCAGGGAUGCGGGAGAGGGACAACCGGGGGGAGGGGGAGGGACAGCAGGCCUCGUCCUGGUCCGGAGGGAGGGAGGAGGCCACCCUUGGCUCCUGGGAGUCCGCCUGGUUCUCUACCUGCCUCCUCUGGACUCACCUGGUUUUGUCUCGCCUGGUGUGGACACCUCCUGUUUCUCCCCAUCUCCCUUUCCUGGAACAACAUGGACCUACCGGUUUGCUGUGGGAGUGCACUGGGUUUGGGGACUGUGGAAAAGCCUCCUGAGUUCUUGUUCUUCUUCCCUUUCUUACUGGGAUUCCUGUCUGUUGAGUCUGAAAUUUGCAAGCAUCAAAGAAAAUGCAGGACAGUAUGUAUUUUUAAGAGUUCAAAGCAGGACAUAGGCACCUUACUUUUUAUGACAUGCAGAGCAGGAUUCUUUGGGGAAGAAUUUGAUCUACAAUCGUAAAGCAAUUUCAGAGGGAAGCAAGAGUGUUUCAUAGAAUCAUUUUGUUCUGCGCCUGUUUAUGCUGUCCCAACUGGCGUGUAGUGAUUGGCAUUAAACUUCUGAGUAGAUAAGGUGAUGUUCAUCUGCUCCCUGUAGAAGGGAAGGUCGCUUAAUGGCUUUCUCUGCUGAACGGGCCACAGAUGGUGUUCUCUGUGCCUUGGGACAGUGCUGAUCAGAUUCUGAGUUAACACAGCAACACAACCUCAGUUUAAUAACAGUCAACUGUGUUAAGCAUUGCUGUCAUUUUAGCGCUAAUAUCUAUAUAAAUAAUCUACACUAAUAUUUAUAGUGUAACGGCCUCCUGUUGUGUUCAGUGCUGCAAAAGUUGUUAAACCAAUGAGAUGAUGCAGGGAUGUGUCAAGCGUAGAACCUAGCAGAUAGCAAGUGAGAAAGUGCCCAGGAGAUGAUCAUACAGAAAGCUUAUGCUAAGUUAUCUAGCAAGAUGCAGUGUGUAUUUUAAAAGUCGCAGUAGUGCUUUCAAAAUGUUGGGAGUCCCUAAAAUUAAAUUCUUAAAUAGGGCAGCUUUUUUGUGUUUGAGAACUACUGUGAAAUAAUUACAAUUAUUAUUAUAUGAAUGUCCCUGAUAUCUAAAAAAGAAAAAAUAAGAUUUUUAUGUUGACAACUAUAUAUUUUUCCUUAAAGUCUUCUUUAAUAAAGUAUAAUGUACUUUGAAUAGAAUUUUGACU